UACGUAGGGUGCAAGCGUUGUCCGGAAUUAUUGGGCGUAAAGAGCUCGUAGGCGGUCUGUUGCGUCGGGAGUGAAAACUCGGAGCUUAACUCCGAGCCUGCUUCCGAUACGGGCAGACUAGAGGUAGGCAGGGGAGACUGGAAUUCCGGGUGUAGCGGUGGAAUGCGCAGAUAUCAGGAGGAACACCCAUAGCGAAGGCAGCUCGCUGGGACGGUACUGACGCUAAGGCGCGAAAGCGUGGGGAGCGAACAGG
rnacentral:rRNA from 1 species